rnacentral:rRNA from 1 species
UGGGGAAUUUUGGACAAUGGGCGCAAGCCUGAUCCAGCCAUGCCGCGUGCGGGAAGAAGGCCUUCGGGUUGUAAACCGCUUUUGUCAGGGAAGAAAUCUUCUGAGUUAAUACCUCGGGAGGAUGACGGUACCUGAAGAAUAAGCACCGGCUAACUACGUGCCAGCAGCCGCGGUAAUACGUAGGGUGCAAGCGUUAAUCGGAAUUACUGGGCGUAAAGCGUGCGCAGGCGGUUUUGUAAGACAGAGGUGAAAUCCCCGGGCUCAACCUGGGAACUGCCUUUGUGACUGCAAGGCUUGAGUGCGGCAGAGGGGGGAUGGAAUUCCGCGUGUAGCAGUGAAAUGCGUAGAUAUGCGGAGGAACACCGAUGGCGAAGGCAAUCCCCUGGGCCUGCACUGACGCUCAUGCACGAAAGCGUGGGGAGCAAACAGGAUUAGAUACCCUGGUAGUCCACGCCCUAAACGAUGUCAACUGGUUGUUGGGAAGGUUCCUUCUCAGUAACGUAGCUAACGCGUGAAGUUGACCGCCUGGGGAGUACGGCCGCAAGGUUGAAACUUAAAUG